AGUUGAUGAUGCCCGAACCCGUGACCAUCGAAUAUUAUUGUGCGGGUUUAUCCAUUCGGACACUGGUGACUGCUUUUUAUGGAUCUUAUCAAGAAAUCAGAAUAUUCUCUAUUUCUUCUUUGCCCAUUCAAGUGAAAUUAAAGAUGUUAUGUUUCAUGAAGCUAUUUUUUGACAAAGAGAAAGCUUUUCGUGUGGCGGAUUUUUUACUUUUUCAAGAACCUUUCCUUUAAGAAUUACCGAAUCUCUCUACAGCACAUUUUCUGCCUUGUUGGAACUAAGAAGUUUAAUGGAGGAGAAAAAAUCGUGCAGAGAUAUUUACUUGGCUCAAAAUACCAGCUCUAAAUUCAAUGCAAAUUCUAUUCUUAACUUAUAAAUCCGUCUAUAAUGCAUUUUCUAAUUCGAAUAAUUUGUUUUCGUGCAAUAAGAUUAGAUUAGAUUGAUGGAAUAAUUU